CGGGGCGUAGCUCAGCCUGGUUAGAGUACUUGGUUUGGGACCAAGGGGUCGAAGGUUCGAAUCCUUUCGCCCCGACCA
rnacentral:tRNA from 1 species